rnacentral:rRNA from 1 species
CAGCCGCCGCGGGAAAACGGAGGGGGCUAGCGUUGUUCGGAAUUACUGGGCGUAAAGCGCACGUAGGCGGCUUGGUAAGUUAGAGGUGAAAGCCCGGAGCUCAACUCCGGAAUUGCCUCUAAGACUGCCGAGCUAGCAGGUGAGAGAGGUAAGUGGAAUUCCGAGUGUAGAGGUGAAAUUCGUAGAUAUUCGGAAGAACACCAGUGGCGAAGGCGGCUUACUGGCUCAUACUGGACGCUGAGGUGCGAAAGCGUGGGGAGCAAACAGGAUUAGAGACCCGCGUAGUCCAUGUCUCUUAUAC